rnacentral:rRNA from 1 species
CUUGUUCAAAUAGGGAGGCAUAUAGUUCAUAAUUUUGUGUAGUUUCUUUUAAAAUUGGUAUUGAUUCUACCAUUGGCAACGACAAAUGUUGAGAGAUCAUUUUCUAGCAUGAUUUUAGUCAAGAGCAAGUUGAGAAAUAAGAUGGUUGAUAAUCUUUUGGAUGAUUGCUUAGUCACAUACAUUGAGAGGUAUGUUUUCUUCGAGGUAAAUGAAGAUGAUAUUAUUUAUACUUUCAUGCAAGGCAAAAGGUAG